UUCGAAAAUGACUUUUGAAAUGGAUUUUUGAGAACCUAAACUGAUUUUCAAAUAGUUUUACCAAACCUAGAGAUUCAAGAGUAGGUCGAAUGUUACAUUGGGAUAGUGUGACCGUUGUGCACAAGUGAGUUUUAGCUAGAGAACCUUUGAGUCGCCGAUGGACUAUUAGACAUGGCUGAGGCCAUAGUUUGUGAUCUAUACGUGGCAAGGCCAUGGGUUGAUAUAUGUGGCUAGGCCAUAAGUGAUAUACAUGGUUACGACUGCCUGAUUUCUCUAACGUCGGCUAACAUCGUUAAGGCUUCCAUGGUUAUGGGGAUCUGGUGGAGCGGAGCUCUUGGAUAUUAUUAUGUGGAAGCGGAUAAGUAACCAGUUCAAGAAUAUUGUCAUAGCAAACCUUGAUUCACUAUGAUUAUUGUCCCUCAAGUGCAUUUUAAUCUCCAUUCUGGACCACCAAUUCUUAGGCUCUAGUUUAUAACAACAACUCAUCACACAUUGUUGGGGUAAGAGGUAAUCAUAUAAUUCUCAGUGUGUCUAAAUCACGUUCAUUCAUGGUAGUAGUUUCAUUGAACUAUGGUAGCAUUAAUAAAUGCACAGAUUCAUUCAACUUGUUGGUUAACAAUGGUGUAGCCGCUAGUCAACUUGUGAAUAUCCAUUCAUUGAAAUAUUCCAUAGUCUGGAACAAGUAUCAUCAUGCUAAAACAAGCUAUUUUCUUCUUCUUUUCAUUCUCCUAAACUGUGAGUACUUUGCUUACUUGAUUCCUUAUUGUCUAGAUAACUUUUAUACAUAACAAGAUUGUGGUGAAGCAAUUAGCAAUUUCCAUGAAAAUAUGAAGUCCAACAUAAAAAAUAUUGCUUUAUUUCCUCAUGUAAAUCUCUUGUAGGAUAAAGCUAGAGAAGUUUGCUAGUUAAAUCACUUUCUUGGCUUUUCUUCUCUCAUCUCUGCAUCUUUUAUUGUUAUUGUCAACAUCUUCCAACAUUCUCUGUCACUGUCACUCAGCAUAGGUAUGUUUACCCCCUACCCUAUUAUUUUUGAUUCCCAUAAUUAGUAAGAAUUUAUUGCUUAUUUGCCUUCUUAAUUUG